rnacentral:rRNA from 1 species
AGAUCGGUCUCGGCAUUCCUGCUGAACCGCUCUUCCGAUCUACUUUCGUGGAUAGGAAUCCUUGCUGCAUGGUGGGGGUUGGAAAGCUUCGGCGGUUUUGGAUGGACUCGCGGCUUAUCAGCUUGUUGGUGGGGUAGUGGCUUACCAAGGCUUUGACGGGUAGCCGGCCUGAGAGGGCGACCGGCCACAUUGGGACUGAGAUACGGCCCAGACUCCUACGGGAGGCAGCAGUGGGGAAUAUUGCACAAUGGGCGGAAGCCUGAUGCAGCAACGCCGCGUGCGGGAUGACGGCCUUCGGGUUGUAAACCGCUUUCAGCAGGGGCGAAGCUUGUGGUGACGGUACCUGCAGAAGAAGCACCGGCUAACUACGUGCCAGCAGCCGCGGUGAUACGUAGGGUGCGAGCGUUGUCCGGAUUUAUUGGGCGUAAAGAGCUCGUAGGUGGUUGAUUGCGUCGGAAGUGAAAACUUGGGGCUUAACCCUGAGCGUGCUUUCGAUACGGGUUGACUUGAGGAAGGUAGGGGAGAAUGGAAUUCCUGGUGGAGCGGUGGAAUGCGCAGAUAUCAGGAGGAACACCAGUGGCGAAGGCGGUUCUCUGGACCUUUCCUGACGCUGAGGAGCGAAAGCGUGGGGAGCGAACAGGCUUAGAUACCCUGGUAGUCCACGCUGUAAACGGUGGGUACUAGGUGUGGGGUCCAUUCCACGGAUUCCGUGCCGUAGCUAACGCAUUAAGUACCCCGCCUGGGGAGUACGGCCGCAAGGCUAAAACUCAAAGGAAUUGACGGGGCCCCGCACAAGCGGCGGAGCAUGCGGAUUAAUUCGAUGCAACGCGAAGAACCUUACCUGGGUUUGACAUGGACUGGGAGUGCUCAGAGAUGGG